UUGAACAAGUUGUGCUACAAAACAUGCAUGUGGUGAAUUGGUUGCACGUUUGAACAAUUAUAAUCUGAAAAAGUUACCAUGUAAGAUGUCCCCAAUGCCAUAAACAAAACUAAAAGAUUGCUAAAGUUAGCAAUGUUUGUCCAAAAUAGAGCUCACAAUGGUAUAACCAAACUUUAGCAAACCCUUAACCAAUAACCAAAUUUUGGCAUUUGGAUAACCAAAAGUAGCAACCUUUUCUCUUUGUAUAAGCAAAUUUACUGGGGACCUCUCUCUCUCCUCCAAUCACUUCAAUGGACCCACCCACUUACAUUUAUUCCCAACUCUCUCUACUAAAAAUGAAUUUUUUGAUUAUGGACCAUUGUGAUACCCUAAACAUUCCUGAAUUCAAGCCAGCCUUUUCUAAACUACCACUUCUAUAAAACUACAGAUCAUUAUGAAAUAAAAACGAAUUUACCAUCCGUAAAAAGUCAUAUUGUAACAUGAAUUAUACAAACUUACAAAACAAUUUUUCAGAUUUAACAAAUCCACAUCGACCAGAUCAUCCCUUGAUACACAGCUAAUUCCAGAAAAACCAUAUGUGCAUACAUAUGUAUACGGACUUUCAAGUCAAAAAGAGAAAGGAAGAAGUAGAAACGUAGAAGUACGCGUAUGUAAAACAUGAGCUAUGCAACUAUCAUAAGGAGCUUAUCCUGCCGUUAAGUUACAUAAAAUUUAUAAUAAUGCCAAACCCCUAAAGAGUGAAUUUAGUGUAGUCUUCGGUCUUCCACAGUAAACUAUCAUACAAAUACCAAGAGCAUGCGGCACCUAUGAAGACACUUCAUUUUGCUCGCAAUAUACGUGUUAGAGACUACACACAUGUACCGUUGCUAAACAAGCCAAAUGAAUCAGGCAGUGGAUUAUUCAAUCUUGUUUUGAAAACUUAAAAGUUCUAAAAUAGAGUGGUUUACUCGCCACAUGCAUGCUUCUUAGUGUGGCUCUCACUUUACCUUCACCUAUCAAUGCACAUCAUAUAAAAAAUCCCCACAUAAGCCUAUCUAUCUAUCUAUCUAUAUACAUGUAUGUACUGUGUGUGUGUGUGUGUACAAACUUAUCGUUACAUGUAUAUUGGUGAGAACUCUCAAAACAUUAAUAUCAAAAUUGAGUACAUGGUUACAAAUCUACAUUCAGAAAAAGCUUCUCAUUUGGACAACAUUUAACCAUCCAAAAUUUAGUAACACUACACAGAAUUUUUUUUAUAAUGAGAU